UAAAAUGUGAAGUAAAAACAACUAAUAAAAACGAUAUGAAAACCACUUAUAAACACCAAGGGAUUGGGCAUAUUGGUUUUGUUAAUUUGUUGUGGGAUUAUAGUGACGAUAUCAUUCAUGUAAUACAUCAAACAUCAACAAUAGAGAAAUAUGGGCUUUUAUACACAAUCAGACUGCUUCCGCAUUAUUGUCAAAAUACUUUAUUUUCU
rnacentral:lncRNA from 1 species